rnacentral:lncRNA from 1 species
CGCAAGAACCAAACAAACCUUCUAGCGACACGCUGACACUGAAUGAAUGAAUAUACCUGAACGCAUAUACGUGGAUCGAGAGAGAUGGACGAUUACUUGGUAGUGGCAAUUUACAAAACAGCAGAGGGUGGCAGACGGUUGGCAUUUGGAGUUGCUACGGGGUCAGCGCCUGUGGCGGGCAGCACGAGCUGCCCCCUUUGCUGCGGUCCUGGGUGCAGCAAGACGGCACGGAUCGUGAGGCAUCGUCCAGCUCCAGCGCCGAGAUCCUGGCCGCGCCCGCCUCUGCUCCGCCGCCGUGCCCGCGCGGCCCCGUCCUCGCACCGCGCGCGGCCGUGACCACCAAGGCCGCGAGCGCCAUGGCCAGCAGCAACCUGCAGGCGCACGUCGUCGAUCUCGCGCGCACAGCCAUGCUCGAUCGGCAGGCACCGAUCGACUUGUCGUCGUUGGAGACGUCACGAUCUCUUGGUUGGGUUCCUUCUUCCUUCCUUGGCUUCUUGAU